GCAAGAUUGAUUUAUCCUAAGUUGAUAGCAUAAAUCAGUCCGUUUAAUCUGUGGAGUGUACGGCUGUGUGGUACGCAAAAUUUACCGGGUAUUCAACGGAUUUAUUUCUGACGUCAUCUUGAGCAAAUUUAUGCAACCUUCGAAAUUUAAUAGUGAAGAAGAAUAAUAAAGCAGCAACUAUUGGAUGAGAACUUCGCGUAAAAGGUGUUCAUUUCACAGUUUUGAGUUUUGUGAUAGACUAUUGCGAUCGAUUGCAGCCAUUAGUGAAACUUCAGAAAUGCGUUUCACAUGCGUUGGAUGUAAACAACAAACAGCAAUAUCGGAGCACGGGCAUACGAUCAUGGUUUUGUUGCCCAGGAAAGAAAAAAGCGAUUUCUUGCAUCAAAUUGUGUAUAAUGGAUGAUUAAAAAAUAGAUUUUGUAUGAUAGUGCUAACAAUAAGUCAUGGAUGGAUUCUGGCCAACCAACAACAUCGACAGUAAAGUUCAACAUUCUUGAUUAUCUAUGUCUAAAAUCCGUCCAAUAAUAUCAAAUCUGUACAUAAUAUCCUACAUCGAGGACAGAUAAAGUCCUACAAAUUCAAAAGAAAAGAGAAAAACGAUCAACAAUAAGCCGAAAAAAUCGGCAAAUACAGAUUAACUAAACGCGCGUUUUUUAUUUCUGUUUUCUAGCUUUCUGGAAAGCGCAUCGUAUUUUGCAACGUUACUGCCUUCGAAUACUUAACAAAGGGAAGAGGUAUUAAUACUACCACGCCAAGCUCGCACCGCUGCAACUCCGUGUUUUACAAUUCACUCUAGGAUUUACAUGACCUAUAUCCCUGCCUAUGAGAGCAUGACACGAAAAAAAGGAAGGAAAAUAAAAUACCACAAGAGUAAAAUAUUUUGAUUUUAUACAAAUGUUAUUCUUCUUAUUAAUACAACAUAAAAUUUGAAAAAAUUCUUGCUAAAUAUAAUGUUAAGUAUUUGUAACAAAAUGAUUCCUAUGAUUCAUCAUUCUUUUAAGUAGAGACGUUAAACAAAAGUAUAAAAAUAAAUGAUCGCAAAAUAAAUGAUCUCAAGGCAGUUAUUAAUAUAAUAAAUUAAAUUAAUUAAUUUUAUUUAUAUAAAAAAAUUAAAUAAAACAUAUUACGAUUUAAAAGCAGAACAAUCAAACAGAAUUCGCGAAAGAUAUAAUAAAAAAUGCAAAGAUUAUUCGCGAUAGGAAGCC